rnacentral:tRNA from 1 species
GUUUUAAUAGUUUAGUAUUAAAAACUUUGGUCUUGUAAACCAAAAACGGAUAAAUUUCCUUAAAACA